GCAUAUCAAUAAGCGGAGGAAAAGAAACCAACAGGGAUUGCCUUAGUAGCGGCGAGUGAAGCGGCAAAAGCUCAAAUUUGAAAUCUGGCACUUUCAGUGUCCGAGUUGUAAUUUGAAGAAGGUAUCUUUGGGUUUAGCUCUUGUCUAUGUUUCUUGGAACAGAACGUCACAGAGGGUGAGAAUCCCGUGCGAUGAGAUGUCUAAACCUAUGUAAAGUUCCUUCGAAGAGUCGAGUUGUUUGGGAAUGCAGCUCUAAGUGGGUGGUAAAUUCCAUCUAAAGCUAAAUAUUGGCGAGAGACCGAUAGCGAACAAGUACAGUGAUGGAAAGAUGAAAAGAACUUUGAAAAGAGAGUGAAAAAGUACGUGAAAUUGUUGAAAGGGAAGGGCUUGAGAUCAGACUUGGUAUUUUGUAUGUUGUUCUCUUCGGGGGGCGGCCUCUACAGUUUACCGGGCCAGCAUCAGUUUGAGCGGUAGGACAAUUGCAAAGGAAUGUGGCUUGGCUUCGGUUGAGUGUUAUAGCCUUUGUCGAUACUGCCAGCUUAGACUGAGGACUGCGGCUUCGGCCUAGGAUGCUGGCAUAAUGAUCUUAAGUCGCCCGUCUUGAAACACGGACCAAGGAGUCUAACGUCUAUGCGAGUGUUUGGGUGUAAAACCCGUACGCGUAAUGAAAGUGAACGUAGGUAGGACCUCUUCGGAGUGCACUAUCGACCGAUCCUGAUGUCUUCGGAUGGAUUUGAG
rnacentral:rRNA from 1 species